AGUGGGAUAGCUGGGUCAAGUGGUGAUUCCAUUCUCAAUUUUCUGAGGAAUCUCCAUACUGCUUUCCAUAUUGGCUGCACCACUUUGAAGUCCUACCAGCAAU
rnacentral:pre_miRNA from 1 species